rnacentral:lncRNA from 1 species
UCUUCAAAAGUUUCACUGACAUGAACCUCACUUGUGGGUGCCAGGUUAUGACCACAUGCAUAGUUUCAUCUUCAUCUUAUGCAACAUUUGGGGUAAAAGGAAGGUUAUGUGGUAACCAGUUUAUGACUUGAACUAUAGGCAAAGAUUGACCAGACCAAGCCCUGAGACACAGUGUUGAGAGCCAAGACAUAAAGUUGUGAAGAUUCAGACCCAGAGCCCAGCAGGGCACAGGCUGGAGGGGUGAUGUGAGUGAUCAGUAACACCAUGAAGACUCUGCUCCUGGGUCAGGAAUGCUUUUUUGUCCCUGUUUUUGGAUUUUCCACCAUGAUCAGUUCACAGGGAAUUGGAAAUCCUUGUCUUCGUGGUUCCUGGCUCAGCAGGACCCCUGUGGGGCCUCUCCCUCUCUUGGGAAAGAGAUUGCUCUAGAAGGUUUACUACACCAGUGAGGAGAAGAUGAGCGCAAGGGGGAUUGGCCGGCUGAGGGCGAAAUCAAGACUGGAGCCAAGUGCGCUGAGCUCUCACAUGAGGUCCUUUGCUCCUGUUCCCUGGAGGC